rnacentral:rRNA from 1 species
CACUGAACAUUGAGCCUUGAUGUGUAGGAUAGGUGGGAGGCUUUGAAGCGUGGACGCCAGUCUGCGUGGAGCCGACCUUGAAAUACCACCCUUUAAUGUUUGAUGUUCUAACGUGGACCCGUGAUCCGGGUUGCGGACAGUGUCUGGUGGGUAGUUUGACUGGGGCGGUCUCCUCCUAAAGAGUAACGGAGGAGCACGAAGGUUGGCUAAUCCUGGUCGGACAUCAGGAGGUUAGUGCAAUGGCAUAAGCCAGCUUGACUGCGAGCGUGACGGCGCGAGCAGGUGCGAAAGCAGGUCAUAGUGAUCCGGUGGUUCUGAAUGGAAGGGCCAUCGCUCAACGGAUAAAAGGUACUCCGGGGAUAACAGGCUGAUACCGCCCAAGAGUUCAUAUCGACGGCGGUGUUUGGCACCUCGAUGUCGGCUCAUCACAUCCUGGGGCUGAAGUAGGUCCCAAGGGUAUGGCUGUUCGCCAUUUAAAGUGGUACGCGAGCUGGGUUUAGAACGUCGUGAGACAGUUCGGUCCCUAUCUGCCGUGGGCGCUGGAGAACUGAGGGGGGCUGCUCCUAGUACGAGAGGACCGGAGUGGACGCAUCACUGGUGUUCGGGUUGUCAUGCCAAUGGCACUGCCCGGUAGCUAAAUGCGGAAGAGAUAAGUGCUGAAAGCAUCUAAGCACGAAACUUGCCCCGAG